AUUGAACGCUGGCGGCAUGCCUUACACAUGCAAGUCGAACGGUAACAGGUCUUCGGAUGCUGACGAGUGGCGAACGGGUGAGUAAUACAUCGGAACGUGCCUAGUAGUGGGGGAUAACUACUCGAAAGAGUGGCUAAUACCGCAUGAGAUCUACGGAUGAAAGCAGGGGAUCGCAAGACCUUGUGCUACUAGAGCGGCCGAUGGCAGAUUAGGUAGUUGGUGGGAUAAAAGCUUAACAAGCCGACGAUCUGUAGCUGGUCUGAGAGGACGAUCAGGCACACUGGGACUGAGACACGGCCCAGACUCCUACGGGAGGCAGCAGUGGGGAAUUUUGGACAAUGGGCGCAAGCCUGAUCCAGCAAUGCCGCGUGCAGGAUGAAGGCCUUCGGGUUGUAAACUGCUUUUGUACGGAACGAAAAGCCCUGGGUUAAUACCCUGGGGUCAUGACGGUACCGUAAGAAUAAGCACCGGCUAACUACGUGCCAGCAGCCGCGGUAAUAC
rnacentral:rRNA from 1 species